rnacentral:tRNA from 1 species
GGGCUUGUAGUUUAACUGGUAAAACAACGGUCUCCAAAACCGUAGUUCUCAGUUCGAGUCUGGGCAAGCCUGCCA